rnacentral:tRNA from 1 species
GGCUCUUUAGUCUAGCGGUAGGACGUCAGAUUUUGAUUCUGAAAUCCCCGGUUCGACCCCGGGAGGAACCU